rnacentral:lncRNA from 1 species
CCCCAAGCAACUGAACAGAUUCCCGUUUGGUCAACAGGACCCCAGGGACACCCUGGAAGCUGAGUUCCUGGCCAUGAUGGGAUCAGAGGCUGGAUCUGGAUGUCCUAAAGCCAAAUAUCUGAAGCUGGUAUUUUAACUACCUCACCUGAUUCUGAGGCAUGCCAACAUGGAGAACCCAAGAUCUAUAUAACACAUGGAUAGGGCAGCCAGGCCAGGGCUGCUAAAGACCAUUGAUGAAUCCAGGAACAUAAGCACACCAUGUGAAGAUGAAGACAGAGAUCAGGGUGAUGCAGCAGAAGCCAAGGAAUGCCAAAGAUUCCAGCAAACUAACAGAAGCUGGGAGUGAGGCAUGGAACAGAUUCUUCCUCAUGGCCCUCAGAAGGAACCAACCCUGCUGACAUCUUGAUCUCAGAUCUCUCCCGAAAUGCAAGAGACUCCAGGAGUGCACCUAGCGGUCACAGAGAAGAAACCUUGUGAGAACACAGCUAGAAGGCGACUGUCUGUAAGCAGGAAGAAUGACCUCACCAGAAACCAGUUCUACCAAAAAACCUUGAUCUUGAAUGUCCAGGCUCCAGAACUGUGAGAAAAUUAACGUAUGCUCUUGAAGCUGCCCAACCUGUGGUAUUCUGUUAUGACUAUCCUAGAAGACUAAUACAAUUACUUAUCAACAUAGGCUGCCUUUCAGUAAUUAAGUGUAAGAGAGAUAAAAUAUAAUCGUG